UAGGGAAUCUUCCACAAUGGGCGAAAGCCUGAUGGAGCAACGCCGCGUGUGUGAUGAAGGGUUUCGGCUCGUAAAACACUGUUGUAAGAGAAGAAUGACAUUGAGAGUAACUGUUCAAUGUGUGACGGUAUCUUACCAGAAAGGGACGGCUAAAUACGUGCCCG
rnacentral:rRNA from 1 species